AAUUUUGGACAAUGGGCGCAAGCCUGAUCCAGCCAUGCCGCGUGAGUGAAGAAGGCCUUCGGGUUGUAAAGCUCUGUCGGACGGACAGCAAUCGCGCAGGCUAAUACCCUGCGCGGAUGACGGUACCGUCAUAAGAAGCACCUGCUAACUUCGUACCAGCAGCCGCGGUAAUACGUAGGGUGCGAGCGUUAAUCGGAAUUACUGGGCGUAAAGCGAGCGCAGGCGGUUGAUUAAGACAGGCGUGAAAUCCCCGGGCUUAACCUGGGAACUGCGCUUGUAACUGGUCAAAUAGAGUAUGUCAGAGGGGGGUAGAAUUCAGCGUGUAGCAGUGAAAUGCGUAGAUAUGCGGAGGAAUACCGAUGGCGAAGGCAGCCCCCUGGGAUAAUACUGACGCUCAUGCACGAAAGCGUGGGUAGCAAACAGG
rnacentral:rRNA from 1 species